rnacentral:lncRNA from 1 species
CAAAGUGAAUAAAGGCCUCGGGAAAGACUUCACGAAUGGCUUUAAUAACGUUCUCCAAAAAGAUGUCAUACUGCUCACCGUGAACACGGUCCUUUCUUAAACCCAUGUAUUGAUGAUUUUUACGAUGGGUUUCAUUGUUGGUGCCAACGUCGAGAACGAUGGGCAAAAAUCGAUUAGGGUCAAAACCUGCGCAUAAAGUCAUUAAAUGUCCCUUGGCAACUGAAAUUAAGACACCACCAACACCUUGAUCGCCGAUACCCAAAAUACUUCAGAGUCGGUAAUGAUAAUGUAUUCAACGCUAUCGGAUUUUCCAAACUCGGAAAGCUGUUGUUUGAUGUAAGACAAGUCGCUAUGAUCAAUGUCCAAAUAGCAACCCUCGGGAUAACGAUAUAUAUCGGAAAAUUGCUUGAUGGCAUCGCCUUCAGUAGGUGUAUAGAUGAUGGGAAUCAUUUCAAUCAAAUGUUGGCUAAUAAGUGCAUAAAACAGAGUUUGGUUGGUAACACUUAAUUGAGAAAGAUAUAAAUUCUUCUGUAAAGGUUCAUCACCGAUUGCUUUGUACUGUUCAUAACAGCGAUCCACUUGUUGUUGCAAAG